CCUCUCAUGGCGUAGUGGUAACGCGCCCCAACUAGAGAUCGGGGAGUCGUGAGUUCGAUUCUCAUUGAGAAGA
rfam:Aedes aegypti strain Liverpool supercont1.77 genomic scaffold, whole genome shotgun sequence.